UAAUGAACGUUGAAGAGAAGAGUAGUUUUUCUGACUUACUACAGAGACCCUCGUUAGGUGGAAAAAGGGAUAGGGAUGAAAAAUGAAGAUGAACUUGGAGUUCGAUUAUUGGUUGAAGAGGCUGAUGAUCCGUGGGUUUACGGUAUAAACCAUAUGCUAUUAAAGAUAGCUGUUGAGGCUGUUAGUACAAACUAACAGUAAAACAAGGUGGUACCGCGAGACUCUCGUCCUUAGA
rnacentral:ncRNA from 1 species